rnacentral:siRNA from 1 species
GCGAAGAGAAAGAAGCAGCACGA